AGGAUUAACGCUGGCGGCGUGCCUAACACAUGCAAGUCGAACGAGGGGGGCAACCCCCGAGUGGCAGACGGGUGAGUAACGCGUGGUCAACCUACCCUAGAGUGGGGAAUAACUAGCCGAAAGGUUAGCUAAUACCGCAUGAUACGUUUUGGGACAUCCCAGGACGUUGAAAGGAGCAAUCCGCUCGAGGACGGGACCGCGUCCGAUUAGCUAGUUGGUGAGGUAACGGCCCACCAAGGCUCCGAUCGGUAGCUGGUUUGAGAGAGCGACCAGCCACACUGGGACUGAGAAACGGCCCAGACUCCUACGGGAGGCAGCAGUGAGGAAUUUUCCGCAAUGGGCGAAAGCCUGACGGAGCGACGCCGCGUGUGGGAAGAAGGCCUUCGGGUCGUAAACCACUGUCGAAGGGACUAUACUGAAGGUACCCUUGGAGGAAGCCCGGCUAACUACGUGCCAGCAGCCGC
rnacentral:rRNA from 1 species